rnacentral:rRNA from 1 species
GACGAACGCUGGCGGCGUGCUUAACACAUGCAAGUCGAACGGAAAGGCCCUGCUUUUGUGGGGUGCUCGAGUGGCGAACGGGUGAGUAACACGUGAGUAACCUGCCCUUGACUUUGGGAUAACUUCAGGAAACUGGGGCUAAUACCGGAUAGGAGCUCCUGCUGCAUGGUGGGGGUUGGAAAGUUUCGGCGGUUGGGGAUGGACUCGCGGCUUAUCAGCUUGUUGGUGGGGUAGUGGCUUACCAAGGCUUUGACGGGUAGCCGGCCUGAGAGGGUGACCGGCCACAUUGGGACUGAGAGAGGGCCCAGACUCCUACGGGAGGCAGCAGUGGGGAAUAUUGCACAAUGGGCGGAAGCCUGAGGCAGCAACGCCGCGUGCGGGAUGACGGCCUUCGGGUUGUGAACCGCUUUCGCCUGUGACGAAGCGUGAGUGACGGUAAUGGGUAAAGAAGCACCGGCUAACUACGUG